GACGAACGCUGGCGGCGUGCUUAACACAUGCAAGUCGAACGGAAAGGCCCUGCUUUUGUUGGUUUUUAGAGUGGCGAACGGGUGCGUAACACGGGAGUACCCUGCCCUUGACUUUGGGAUAACUUCAGAAAACUGGGGCUAAUACCGGAAAGGACAUUCUCAUCCCUGGUGGGGAUUGGAAAGUUUCGGCGGUUGGGGAUGUACUUGCUGUUUAUCAGCUUGUUGGUGUGGUAGUGGCUUACCAGGGCUUCGACGGGUAGCCGGCCUGAGAGGGGGACCGGCAACAUGUGGACUGUGAUACGGGCGGGAGCAGUACGGGAGACAGCAGUGGGGAAGAGUGCAUGAUGGGGGGAAGCAGGAUGCAGCAACGCCGCGUGAGGGAUGGUGGCCUUCGUGUUGUAGACCGCAUUGGGCGGUGACGAAGACUGAGUGACGGUAACGUGUAAAUAAGCACCGGCUAACUACGUG
rnacentral:rRNA from 1 species